AUGACUCGUUUCACUCUUUGUCUCAUGAUGAUUGGUUGGCUGCAGGGGCACCGCGAGGAGUGGAGGAUCGAGGUCGUGGGUUGCCAGCUUCAAAUUUUGGGUCUCCGCAAGGAGUUGAAGGCUGAGGUCAUGGUUGCCAGCUUCAAUUUUUUGCUGAGCAAUUCCUCAAGAGUCUUGCCAAGAUCUGAGGAUGAAGGGAAGAAGAAGAAUUUAACUAAAGAGUUCAAGAAGAUGAAGCAAUGCACGGGCCAAAGACAAUCGGCAAUAAAAACAAUCUGCUUGCAAGUUCUAUAUUACCAGCGGAGGCUUUGCCAAGAGGAAGGGUAA
rnacentral:rRNA from 1 species